rnacentral:rRNA from 1 species
AUUGAACGCUGGCGGCAGGCCUAACACAUGCAAGUCGAACGAGUGGCGGACGGGUGAGUAAUGUCUGGACACCUGCCUGAUGGACGGGGAUAACUACUGGAACCCGUAGAUAAUGCCGCUUACCAUCCGAUGGGCCCAGAUUGGAUUAGCUAGUUGGUGGGGUAACGGCUCACCAAGGCGACGAUCCCUAGCUGGUCUGAGAGGAUGACCAGCCACACUGGAACUGAGACACGGUCCAGACUCCUACGGGAGGCAGCAGUGGGGAAUAUUGCACAAUGGGCGCAAGCCUGAUGCAGCCAUGCCGCGUGUAUGAAGAAGGCCUUCGGGUUGUAAAGUACUUUCAGCGGGGAGGCGUUACCCGCAGAAGAAGCACCGGCUAACUCCGUGCCAGCCGCCGCGGUAAUAC